rnacentral:rRNA from 1 species
UGAGGAAUAUUGGUCAAUGGGCGAGAGCCUGAACCAGCCAAGUAGCGUGCAGGACGACGGCCCUAUGGGUUGUAAACUGCUUUUAUGUGGGGAUAAAGUGCGUGACGUGUCAUGCAUUGCAGGUACCACAUGAAUAAGGACCGGCUAAUUCCGUGCCAGCAGCCGCGGUAAUACGGAAGGUCCGGGCGUUAUCCGGAUUUAUUGGGUUUAAAGGGAGCGUAGGCUGUCUAUUAAGCGUGUUGUGAAAUAUACCGGCUCAACCGGUGGCUUGCAGCGCGAACUGGUCGACUUGAGUAUGCAGGAAGUAGGCGGAAUGCAUGGGGUAGCGGUGAAAUGCUUAGAUAUCAUGACGAACUCCGAUUGCGCAGGCAGCUUACUGUAGCAGAACUGACGCUGAUGCUCGAAAGUGCGGGUAUCAAACAGG